AGCCUAAGCAAUGCUGCCAGACAAGAAGAAGCUGAGCGGGGACUCUUCUCCUCAGCCCUGUGAAGCUCAUGGCCCGAGCCCUCCAUGUCCGCACCCGCCUCUCCCUGAGGACGCAUGCCCGGCUGUCUUUAGUUCACGGCUCCUGUUGCCCUUAGGGGAGAAGGCCGAAGACCUGCUCUUUCUACAAAACAUGGUUCAGAGCAGGCCUGUUGCAGACCCCUGGGGACUCCCAUCUGGGCACCAAAAUACAAGGUCCGGGCUGGCUGCAGGCCAGCACUAGAGCCAACCAGUCUGCAGACCCGACCUCACUCAGCCCUCCAGGUUUCCAAGCCCAUACUGGUGCUAUGACCUGCAGACAGCAGCCCGCGGGAGCUUCUCCAUCCUUCCCAGCACGCUCGCAACCCAGGGGAACGGUCGCCGUUUUCAGCUGCCUCGUAGGCUUUAGGGUUGGCUGGAGCCUCAAAAUGUGGAACAGGAGCCCAAGGCUCCCACGCCAAGGCCUCAGGACGCGGGGAUUUAAAGCUGCCUGGGCCCUGGGCUUCCUGCGCUCUCCUGCGGUUCAGGUGGCCGUUCGGGCCACUCCCUGUCUACUAUGCUUGCGGAUCCUGAGAGGUUACAAAGGAAAGCCAAAUGGGCGGACGUCCAGGGCCAAGGUAGCCAGCCAUUCCUUCUUGCUGUAAUCACCUGCGCUGCCUGUUACCCUUGACCAAAGACCGCUAGUGGUGCCCUCCUUGGGAGGCUGCCACCAACAGUGGGACAGGGAACGUGAUAGACCCGAUUUUCAGUGUUGCCCGCACCCUGGACCUACAAGGAUGGGCUGACCCUGAUACCCCGCCAUGCCCUGCCUUCGGAUGCAACGCACUGCCUGUUGGCAUGGAGCGCCAUCGCUGGUGGAAGGGAGUGGAGCUCAGAUAGCCCAGGUCAGUGAGGAUGAGCGGACAGGACCCUCUCAGUCUCUUGGAUCUUGCAGUACAAAGCCUGCUGAACGAUGAGGACUCAGCUGUCCAUGCUCUGGAGGAGCUCCCUGUGGGCCUUUUCCCAACCCUGUCCACGGCAGCCUUUGAUGGGGGACACACAAAGACUGUGACAGCAAUGAUGCAGGCCUGGCCCUUCCCCUGCCUCCAUCUGGGAUCGUUAAGAGAUCAGUCAAUAACUCAAGAUCUCUUAGAAGCCGUCCUAGAUGGGCUGGAAUUAGUUCCUACCAAUGCUGCUUGUCCGAGGAGAUCGAAGCCGAAGGUGCUGGAUUUUACCCAUGACUUUGAGCACUCCAACUGGGAGGAGUGCUCUGAGACUACUCCUGCCCCCUUCGUCGUCACGCACAUGCUGGAAGAGCCGGAGGCAGACCCACGAGUGCCCAGUUCCAGAGAACAGCCUCCGCAUCAUCGAGAACCCAUGGAAAUCCACACAGACCUUUUCCUCGGUGGUUUGUUCGGCUUGUUCCACCUGUCGGGGCUCCCCCUCGUACAUCCUGCAGAGAGUCGAGAAGAGCCACGGCUGUCUGCGUCUCUGCUGUCGGACCCUGGUCGUCAACCGGGUGCCGUUCCGCAGCCUUGUAGAGACCCUGGGAGUGCUGGAGCUGGAGACCAUCCGAGAGGUGCGGCUUCAUCACAGGGGUAAG